rnacentral:rRNA from 1 species
UCCUUGGUGAUUCAUGAUAACCUCUCAGAUCGCACGGCCUUGCGCCGGCGACGGUUCAUUCAAAUUUCUGCCCUAUCAACUUUCGAUGGUAAGGUAUUGGCUUACCAUGGUUUCAACGGGUAACGGGGAAUUAGGGUUCGAUUCCGGAGAGUGAGCCUGAGAAACGGCUCACACAUCCAAGGAAGGCAGCAGGCGCGCAAAUUACCCAAUCCCGACACGGGGAGGUAGUGACAAUAAAUACUGAUACAGGGCUCUUUUGGGUCUUGUAAUUGGAAUGAGUACAAUUUAAACCUCUUAACGAGGAACAAUUGGAGGGCAAGUCUGGUGCCAGCAGCCGCGGUAAUUCCAGCUCCAAUAGCGUAUAUUAAAGUUGUUGCAGUUAAAAAGCUCGUAGUUGAAUCUUUGGCCUGGCUGGUGGGUCCGCCUCACCGCGUGCACUUGUCCGGCCGGGCCUUCUCUUCUGGAGAACCGCAUGCCCUUCACUGGGCGUGUUGGGGACCAGGACUUUUACUUUGAAAAAAUUAGAGUGUUCAAAGCAGGCCUUUGCUCGAAUACGUUAGCAUGGAAUAAUAGAAUAGGACGUGCGGUCCUAUUUUGUUGGUUUCUAGGACCGCCGUAAUGAUUAAUAGGGACAGUCGGGGGCAUCAGUAUUCAAUUGUCAGAGGUGAAAUUCUUGGAUUUAUUGAAGACUAACUACUGCGAAAGCAUUUGCCAAGGAUGUUUUCAUUAAUCAGUGAACGAAAGUUAGGGGAUCGAAGACGAUCAGAUACCGUCGUAGUCUUAACCAUAAACUAUGCCGACUAGGGAUCGGGCGGUGUUAUCGAUUUGACCCGCUCGGCACC